GAAAAAGUAAGCAAAAUAUUCUCUUUCCUUAAUGAGUUUACUUUCCACUAAGAGAAGACCCACACAUAGGGGAGUGGUAACCAGAGAGGAAGUGCUUCAGACCAGCAAGUCAGAUAUCCUAGUAAAUGAGAAAGGACAGGAAACUGAAGCAGUUAAGAAGGUGUUGAGUAUCAGAAGCUGAGUCAAUCAGCAUGAUGAUGAGAUUUCUGGGGAUUACUUCAUCCUAGAAGAGAGCUAAUGGUCCACAGUGGAAACAAGCAAAUGCUGAUAGAAAAUGUAGCUGCCUAGAAAGUUACUCUCUCUGCCACUUUUGACCAAAGGAAGACCUUGAAAAUGUCAGAGGGCCAGAGGAUUGAGACUUUUUCAUUGGCAUCCUAGUAGAAUCCCAAGAACAGUAUCAACUGUGUGUUGGACACCAGGAGCACUAAGGAAAGUCAUCUUCAAGGACUCUACAAAGAUCUCAAAAGUUCAUCAUGCCUAAUGUGAACUUCAGAAUCCAAUGAAAGGGAAGAAAGGACUUUCAGCAUCCAGGACCUAUGAGUUACCUGUUUGUAAAUGUGCUCUCUAAGCUCACACCCAUUUUUACCUGGAAUCUGUAUAUAGUGGUGAGUGUGUCACAGACUUUUGGCUGGGAAUAUUUUAUACCAACUGUUUUCAUCAAACCACCUUAAUAAAAAAAAAGUUCUUCCUAAGAACUCA
rnacentral:lncRNA from 1 species